CAAUAGCGUAUAUUAAAGUUGUUGCAGUUAAAAAGCUCGUAGUUGGAACUUGGGCCUGGCUGGCGGGUCCGCCUCACCGCGUGCACUCGUCCGGCCGGGCCUUCCUUCUGAAGAACCUCAUGCCCUUCACUGGGCGUGCUGGGGAAUCAGGACUCUUACUUUGAAAAAAUUAGAGUGUUCAAAGCAGGCCUUUGCUCGAAUACGUUAGCAUGGAAUAAUAAAAUAGGGCGUGCGUUUCUAUUUUGUUGGUUUCUAGAGACGCCGCAAUGAUUAACAGGAACAGUCGGGGGCAUCAGUAUUCAGUUGUCAGAGGUGAAAUUCUUGGAUUUACUGAAGACUAACUACUGCGAAAGCAUUUGCCAAGGAUGUUUUCAUUAA
rnacentral:rRNA from 1 species